UACGUAGGGUGCGAGCGUUGUCCGGAAUUAUUGGGCGUAAAGAGCUCGUAGGCGGCUUGUCGCGUCGGUUGUGAAAGCCCGGGGCUUAACCCCGGGUCUGCAGUCGAUACGGGCAGACUAGAGUGCGGUAGGGGAGACUGGAAUUCCUGGUGUAGCGGUGAAAUGCGCAGAUAUCAGGAGGAACACCGGUGGCGAAGGCGGUUCUCUGGGCAUUACCUGACGCUGAGGAGCGAAAGUGUGGGGAGCGAACAGG
rnacentral:rRNA from 1 species